GACGAACGCUGGCGGCGUGCCUAACACAUGCAAGUCGAGCGAUGAAGGUUUCCUUCGGGAAAUGGAUUAGCGGCGGACGGGUGAGUAACACGUGGGUAACCUGCCUCAUAGUGGGGAAUAGCCUUUCGAAAGGAAGAUUAAUACCGCAUAAGAUUGUAGUUUCGCAUGAAACAGCAAUUAAAGGAGCAAUUCGCUAUGAGAUGGACCCGCGGCGCAUUAGCUAGUUGGUGAGGUAACGGCUCACCAAGGCCACGAUGCGUAGCCGACCUGAGAGGGUGAUCGGCCACAUUGGGACUGAGACACGGCCCAG
rnacentral:rRNA from 1 species